UACGUAGGGUGCGAGCGUUACUCGGAAUUACUGGGCGUAAAGCGUGCGCAGGCGGUUAUUUAAGUCAGGUGUGAAAGCCCUGGGCUUAACCUAGGAAUGGCGCUUGAGACUGGAUAGCUUGGAGUGUGGCAGAGGGAGGUGGAAUUCCACGUGUAGCAGUGAAAUGCGUAGAGAUGUGGAGGAACACCGAUGGCGAAGGCAGCCUCCUGGGCCAGCACUGACGCUCAUGCACGAAAGCGUGGGGAGCAAACAGG
rnacentral:rRNA from 1 species